AGAGUUUGAUCCUGGCUCAGGACGAACGCUGGCGGCGUGCCUAAUACAUGCAAGUCGUGCGGACUUAUCUUCGGAUAAGUUAGCGGCGGACGGGUGAGUAACACGUGGGCAACCUGCCUGUAAGACUGGGAUAACUCCGGGAAACCGGUGCUAAUACCAGAUACAAUCAAAGACUGCCUGGUCUUUGAUGGAAAGGUCUUGUACCGCUUACAGAUGGGCCCGCGGCGCAUUAGCUAGUUGGUGGGGUAAUGGCCUACCAAGGCGACGAUGCGUAGCCGACCUGAGAGGGUGAUCGGCCACACUGGGACUGAGACACGGCCCAGACUCCUACGGGAGGCAGCAGUAGGGAAUCUUCCGCAAUGGACGAAAGUCUGACGGAGCAACGCCGCGUGAGUGAUGAAGGCUUUCGGGUCGUAAAACUCUGUUGUCAGGGAAGAACAUCCGGGAUAACCUCCCGGUCUGACGGUACCUGAUCAGAAAGCCCCGGCUAACUACGUGCCAGCAGCCGCGGUAAUACGUAGGGGGCAAGCGUUGUCCGGAAUUAUUGGGCGUAAAGCGCGCGCAGGCGGUUUCUUAAGUCUGGUGUGAAAGCCCGCAGCUCAACUGCGGAGGGCCACUGGAAACUGGGAAGCUUGAGUGUAGGAGAGGAGAGCGGAAUUCCACGUGUAGCGGUGAAAUGCGUAGAUAUGUGGAGGAACACCCGUGGCGAAAGCGGCUCUCUGGCCUAAAACUGACGCUGAGGCGCGAAAGCGUGGGGAGCGAACAGGAUUAGAUACCCUGGUGGUCCACGCCGUAAACGAUGAGUGCUAGGUGUUGGGGACUCCAAUCCUCAGUGCCGCAGCUAACGCAAUAAGCACU
rnacentral:rRNA from 1 species